UUAAGUUAGAAAGGGCGCACGGUGGAUGCCUUGACACUAGGAGUCGAUGAAGGACGGGACUAACGCCGAUAUGCUUCGGGGAGCUGUAAGUAAGCUUUGAUCCGAAGAUUUCCGAAUGGGGAAACCCACCAUACGUAAUGGUAUGGUAUCCUUAUCUGAAUACAUAGGGUAAGGAAGACAGACCCAGGGAACUGAAACAUCUAAGUACCUGGAGGAAGAGAAAGCAAAUGCGAUUUCCUGAGUAGCGGCGAGCGAAACGGAACAUAGCCCAAACCAAGAGGCUUGCCUCUUGGGGUUGUAGGACAUUCUAUACGGAGUUACAAAGGAACGAGGUAGACGAAGCGACCUGGAAAGGUCCGUCGUAGAGGGUAACAACCCCGUAGUCGAAACUUCGUUCUCUCUUGAAUGUAUCCUGAGUACGGCGGAACACGUGAAAUUCCGUCGGAAUCUGGGAGGACCAUCUCCCAAGGCUAAAUACUCCCUAGUGAUCGAUAGUGAACCAGUACCGUGAGGGAAAGGUGAAAAGCACCCCGGAAGGGGAGUGAAAGAGAUCCUGAAACCGUGUGCCUACAAAUAGUCAGAGCCCGUUAACGGGUGAUGGCGUGCCUUUUGUAGAAUGAACCGGCGAGUUACGAUCCCGUGCGAGGUUAAGCUGAAGAGGCGGAGCCGCAGCGAAAGCGAGUCUGAAUAGGGCGUUUAGUACGUGGUCGUAGACCCCGAAACCAGGUGAUCUACCCAUGUCCAGGGUGAAGUUCAGGUAACACUGAAUGGAGGCCCGAACCCACGCACGUUGAAAAGUGCGGGGAUGAGGUGUGGGUAGCGGAGAAAUUCCAAUCGAACCUGGAGAUAGCUGGUUCUCCCCGAAAUAGCUUUAGGGCUAGCCUUAAGUGUAAGAGUCUUGGAGGUAGAGCACUGAUUGGACUAGGGGUCCUCAUCGGAUUACCGAAUUCAGUCAAACUCCGAAUGCCAAUGACUUAUCCUUAGGAGUCAGACUGCGAGUGAUAAGAUCCGUAGUCAAAAGGGAAACAGCCCAGACCGCCAGCUAAGGUCCCAAAGUGUGUAUUAAGUGGAAAAGGAUGUGGAGUUGCUUAGACAACUAGGAUGUUGGCUUAGAAGCAGCCACCAUUUAAAGAGUGCGUAAUAGCUCACUAGUCGAGUGACUCUGCGCCGAAAAUGUACCGGGGCUAAAUACACCACCGAAGCUGCGGAUUGAUACCAAUGGUAUCAGUGGUAGGGGAGCGUUCUAAGGACAGUGAAGUCAGACCGGAAGGACUGGUGGAGUGCUUAGAAGUGAGAAUGCCGGUAUGAGUAGCGAAAGACGGGUGAGAAUCCCGUCCACCGAAUGCCUAAGGUUUCCUGAGGAAGGCUCGUCCGCUCAGGGUUAGUCAGGACCUAAGCCGAGGCCGACAGGCGUAGGCGAUGGACAACAGGUUGAUAUUCCUGUACCACCUCUUUAUCGUUUGAGCAAUGGAGGGACGCAGAAGGAUAGAAGAAGCGUGCGAUUGGUUGUGCACGUCCAAGCAGUUAGGCUGAUAAGUAGGCAAAUCCGCUUAUCGUAAAGGCUGAGCUGUGAUGGGGAAGCUCCUUAUGGAGCGAAGUCUUUGAUUCCCCGCUGCCAAGAAAAGCUUCUAGCGAGAUAAAAGGUGCCUGUACCGCAAACCGACACAGGUAGGCGAGGAGAGAAUCCUAAGGUGUGCGAGAGAACUCUGGUUAAGGAACUCGGCAAAAUGACCCCGUAACUUCGGGAGAAGGGGUGCUUUCUUAACGGAAAGCCGCAGUGAAUAGGCCCAAGCGACUGUUUAGCAAAAACACAGCUCUCUGCGAAGCCGUAAGGCGAAGUAUAGGGGGUGACACCUGCCCGGUGCUGGAAGGUUAAGGAGAGGGGUUAGCGUAAGCGAAGCUCUGAACUGAAGCCCCAGUAAACGGCGGCCGUAACUAUAACGGUCCUAAGGUAGCGAAAUUCCUUGUCGGGUAAGUUCCGACCCGCACGAAAGGUGUAACGAUUUGGGCACUGUCUCAACCAGAGACUCGGUGAAAUUAUAGUACCUGUGAAGAUGCAGGUUACCCGCGACAGGACGGAAAGACCCCGUGGAGCUUUACUGUAGCCUGAUAUUGAAUUUUGGUACAGUUUGUACAGGAUAGGCGGGAGCCAUUGAAACCGGAGCGCUAGCUUCGGUGGAGGCGCUGGUGGGAUACCGCCCUGACUGUAUUGAAAUUCUAACCUACGGGUCUUAUCGACCCGGGAGACAGUGUCAGGUGGGCAGUUUGACUGGGGCGGUCGCCUCCUAAAGUGUAACGGAGGCGCCCAAAGGUUCCCUCAGAAUGGUUGGAAAUCAUUCGUAGAGUGCAAAGGCAUAAGGGAGCUUGACUGCGAGACCUACAAGUCGAGCAGGGACGAAAGUCGGGCUUAGUGAUCCGGUGGUUCCGCAUGGAAGGGCCAUCGCUCAACGGAUAAAAGCUACCCCGGGGAUAACAGGCUUAUCUCCCCCAAGAGUCCACAUCGACGGGGAGGUUUGGCACCUCGAUGUCGGCUCAUCGCAUCCUGGGGCUGUAGUCGGUCCCAAGGGUUGGGCUGUUCGCCCAUUAAAGCGGUACGCGAGCUGGGUUCAGAACGUCGUGAGACAGUUCGGUCCCUAUCCGUCGUGGGCGUAGGAAAUUUGAGAGGAGCUGUCCUUAGUACGAGAGGACCGGGAUGGACGCACCGCUGGUGUACCAGUUGUUCUGCCAAGGGCAUAGCUGGGUAGCUAUGUGCGGAAGGGAUAAGUGCUGAAAGCAUCUAAGCAUGAAGCCCCCCUCAAGAUGAGAUUUCCCAUAGCGUAAGCUAGUAAGAUCCCUGAAAGAUGAUCAGGUUGAUAGGUUCGAGGUGGAAGCAUGGUGACAUGUGGAGCUGACGAAUACUAAUAGAUCGAGGACUUAACCAU
rnacentral:rRNA from 1 species